UUGACGAAAAGGCAAGCCUACCGUAAGAUGGGUACGCAAAGCUAAAGGGACCUCAAAUAGAGAGAAAGGUUAGCCUGGCUACCGAA
rnacentral:ncRNA from 1 species